UUGCGGCCAAUCACGCCAACUGUGCUCGUUUCCCCGCGGGGGUCAGUGUGCAUCGGCCACGAACAGCAGUGUCCUCGGUAAAGUGUGCAGCCCGUUGCCUGUGUGGGUGGCCCUAGGGGACCUUGCAGACAGCC
rnacentral:snoRNA from 1 species